GACGAACGCUGGCGGCGUGCUUAACACAUGCAAGUCGAACGGAAAGGCCCUGCUUUUGUGGGGUGCUCGAGUGGCGAACGGGUGAGUAACACGUGAGUAACCUGCCUUUGACUUUGUGAUAACUUCAGGAAACUGGGGCUAAUACCGGAUAGGAGCUCCUGCUGCAUGGUGGGGGUUGGAAAGUUUCGGCGGUUGGGGAUGGACUCGCGGCUUAUCAGCUUGUUGGUUGGGUAGUGGCUUACCAAGGCUUUGACGGGUAGCCGGCCUGAGAGGGGGACCGGGCACAUUGGGACUACGAUACGGACCAGAGUCCUACGGGAGGCAGCAGUGGGGAAUAUUGCACAAUGGGCGGAAGCCUGAUGAAGCGGCGCCGCGUGCGGGAUGACGGCCUUCGGGUGGUAAACCGCUUUCGCCUGUGACGAAGCGUGAGUGACGGUAAUGGGUAAAGAAGCACCGGCUAACUACGUG
rnacentral:rRNA from 1 species